GGGCGACUGAACCGGGAAGAGCCCAGCGCAUAACCUCGUGUCGUUAACCCGGCACGAGGGGUGUUGCGUUUCGGAGGGUCCAGCACGCCGUGCCAUACCGUCAAAGUCAAGCUUGAAAGCGGCCACUACCCAUUGAGGGUGACAGGCCCGUGUGGCGGCGCCCGCGAGGGUAAAGAUGGCACGGUCGGAGAGGGCCUCAUCAUCUCCGUAGAGUCGGGUUGCUUAAUAGUGCAGCCCAAAGCAGGUGGUAAACUCCAUCUAAGGCUAAAUAUGACCACGAGACCGAUAGCGAACAAGUACCGUGAGGGAAAGUUGAAAAGAACUUUGAAGAGAGAGUUCAAGAGUACGUGAAACCGUUAAGAGCUAAACGGAUGGAACCGCGAAGGUCGAACUGAGGGGAUUCAGCUCGUCGGCUAUCGGCUGGGUGGGAGUUUUCGUUAAGUCGGUGCGACCGCGAGGAAACUCGGGCGCGCUCUCACCCACGCUGGCGUCGGCGGGCGCAUUUCGCCUCGUAGUAGGGCGCCGCGACCCGUCUUGUGGGGGAAGUCAAAUGGCCCCGGCGGAUUAGUACCCGACCUUCGUCGACAGCCUCGUGCUGCUUCAGCUGCUUCUGCUGCUUCUCAUCGGAGGCGGCGGCGGCGGCCGCGGCGGCACUCGGUUGUUUCGGCGCUCGGUAGGCGAAACCGCCGUUGGAGAACCCGGCUACCCUGCGACGGUCGUAGAGAGGAGCUUCUUCCAUACCCCGUUCCCGGGGUCACUGGUGCUGCUCUCGCGGCGUGCAAAAAGAUCGGUGAUCCAUCCGACCCGUCUUGAAACACGGACCAAGGAGUCUAACAUGUAUGCGAGUCAAUGGACUCAUUAAAGCCAAAGGCGUAAUGAAAGUGAAAAAAAAAAAAGAGAGUCCGGCGCGCGCGUCUUUCCAUGGUGCGGGCGUCGGAAGAAGUAGAAGUAUCGGAGGGCCGAUCCAUCGCGUUGUUGUUGUUGUUCCCUCCACCGGCGGCGAUGCCAGGUGAGCUAUUUUCCCUGGCUGGACUAUGCUGGGGAGGAGCAGCAGCAGCAGCGCGUUGGCGCAGGCCCGGGACUUGCCAAAGACGCCGCGAAGGCGCCCUCACCGCCUUCUUCCGUCAGCGAGGUUGGAGGUGAUGGCAACGCCUGCGUGCAGUCGGCAAGUACCACGAGCAGACAUGUUGGUACCCGAAAGAUGGUGAACUAUGCCUGGCCAGGAUGAAGCCAGAGGAAACUCUGGUGGAGGUCCGUAGCGAUUCUGACGUGCAAAUCGAUCGUCUGAGCUGGGUAUAGGGGCGAAAGACUAAUCGAAUCAUCUAGUAGCUGGUUCCCUCUGAAGUUUCCCUCAGGAUAGCUGGGACUCGCAGGAUGAAUUUCGUCCGGUAAAGCGAAUGAUUAGAGGUGUUGGGGACGAAACGUCCUCAACCUAUUCUCAAACUUUAAAUGGGCGAGACGCCGAGCUUUCUUGAAUACUGGCUGAUGAAGCUCCGGCGAUUAAUCUGAGUACCUAGUGGGCCAUUUUUGGUAAGCAGAACUGGCGCUGUGGGAUGAACCAAACGUCGAGUUAAGGGGCCCAAAGGAAUGCUCAUUCAGACCCCAUCGAAAGGCGUUGGUUGCUAUAGACAGCAGGACGGUGGCCAUGGAAGUCGGAAUCCGCUAAGGAGUGUGUAACAACUCACCUGCCGAAGCAACUAGCCCUUAAAAUGGUAUGGCGCUGAAGCAUUCUCCCGACACCCGACCGCCGGGGCGGUACCGACCACGUCCCAGAGGCGAGGUCUCGACGCCCCGGUGAGUAAGAGGGUCGCAGUGGUGAGCGACGAAGGGAUCCGGCGUGAGCCGGCCUGGAGCCGCCACUGGUGCAGAUCUUGGUGGUAGUAGCAAAUACUCGAGAGAGACUCCCUUGAAGACCGAUGUGGAGAAGGGUUCCAUGUGAACAUCAGUUGGACAUGGGUUAGUCGCUCCUAAGCCCGAGGCUAAGGCCUGAUCCCAUGCUAGCGGCAACGUUGGGCCAACUUAAGAAGCGUCAGCAUGAGCAGAAUAAUAAUAAGGAAGAAGAUGACGACGAAGGAGCAGAGAAUGCUGCUGCCGCUGCGGCGGCUUACUAGGGAGGAUGCAGCACCGUGCGGGGCGGCGGUGGUUUCCUCUGCCACUGCCGGUUCCGUCCGUCGAGUGCAUCUCCCGCUUCAGCUUCUGCUGCUGCUACACCGUGCUUCUUCGUUUCUCUCGUGUGCUUCUCGUUGCCCGGGAUUAGUGGCGAAAGGGAAUACGGUACUUAUUCCGUAACCUGGACUCGGAUUAAAAAAAAAAAGACCAGGCAGUCAGGCUCGUCGGUUCGCCCGGCACGCAAGCAAGCAAGCUCCCGAAAGGGAGUUUGGCUACGGCUGCUGCUGGUGUUGCUGCUUCCGACGGUGCUGUUGUUGCCCUGUGUUGAGGACCCCGGUGACGGGAACCAGCUCGCGACCAUCGGCGGUGGUCCGGGAAAGAGUUUUCUUUUCUGUUUAAGGCGCCGUGACCCUAGAAACCAUCCGCAGGGAGAAAGGGGAUUGGUAACACGGUUAGCCGUAGAGCGCCGCGGUUCUUGCGGCGUCCCGCGUGCCACCGCCGGUCCGUGAAACCGCGAGGGAGGUAACUCUGGCUAGACUUUAUUAUUUGUCGGGUCUCCGCGCCCGUCAGAAAUAAAAAAAAGUGAGCCUAAUUUCGAGCCAGUGCGUACCCAUAUCCGCAGCAG
rnacentral:rRNA from 1 species